GGAUCUUGGGAGUUUAAAAAGGGAUGCCUCUGCAGACAGAACUUCUGGAUGCUCUGAUCUUCAGUGACCCAGCUAUUGAGAUCCCAAAGUGCAUGGAUUGUAACUGAGACCAGAUAAAUCAAUUCAAUCACUCUUUCAACCUUGGACUCAAUUAUGGUGUAACUGGACUUUGAAAAUGGCAAUAAUUAGGUGCAACUACAGCCUGAGAUGAAAAUCAAAGUUACGAAUAAGUAUCAAUCCUGCAGUGAAAUCCACCACCCUGGAUCUCCAUGAACCUGAGUCAAACAGCGUUUCUCCUCUUCCAUAGCUAUCUGGAAUAGCACAGCAAAAGCCUGUAAGAUGACAUAACAUAACCCCUGGCGUUUGGGGCGAACAUUUUUUCUUCAGAUGGAUUAGUUCAGG